rnacentral:rRNA from 1 species
CCUACGGGAGGCAGCAGUGAGGAAUAUUGGUCAAUGGCCGAAAGGCUGAACCAGCCAAGUCGCGUGCGGGAAUACGGCCCUACGGGUUGUAAACCUCUUUUGUCCGGGAGCAAAGCGAACCACGUGUAUCUCAUUGAGAGUACCCGACGAACAAGCAUCGGCUAACUCCGUUCCAGCAGCCGCGGUAAUACGGAGGAUGCAAGCGUUAUCCGGAUUUAAUGGGUGUAAAGGGAGCGUAGGCGGGCGCGUAUGUUGGAAGUGAAAUGCCGGGGCUGAACCCCGGAACUGCUUCGGAUAAGGGGCAGCUAGAGUGUAGGAGCGGUAAGCGGAAUGUAUGGUGUAGCGGUGAAAUGCGUAGAUAUGAGGAGGAACACCAGUGGCGAAGGCGGCUUACUGGACUGUAACUGACGUUGAGGCACGAAAGCGUGGGGAGCAAACAGGAUUAGAUACCCGGGUAGUC